rnacentral:rRNA from 1 species
CCUACGGGUGGCAGCAGUGGGGAAUAUUGCGCAAUGGGCGAAAGCCUGACGCAGCGACGCCGCGUGAGGGAUGAAGGUCUUCGGAUCGUAAACAUCUGUCAGAAGGGAAGAACGGUCACUGUGCUAAUCAGCAGUGAAUUGACGGUACCUGCAAAGGAAGCACCGGCUAACGACGUGCCAGCAGCCGCGGUACUACGGAGGGUGCGAGCGUGCAUCGGAAUUACGGGGCGUAAAGCGCUCGUAGGCGGUAUGUCAAGUCAAGGGUGAAAUCCCCGCGCUCAACGUGGGAACUGCCUUUGAAACUGGCAAACUGGAGUGUGUGAGAGGAUAGUGGAAUUCCAGGUGUAGGAGUGAAAUCCGUAGAUAUCUGGAGGAACAUCGGUGGCGAAGGCGACUAUCUGGCACAUAACUGACGCUGAGGAGCGAAAGCGUGGGUAGCAAACAGGAUUAGAUACCCUGGUAGUC